GUAAGGACUGGAGCCGUGUUUUAAACAAUCUCACCAGUUGGGUCCAAUUACCCGAUGAGAGAAUGCUAGCUGGUCCCCUAUGCUCCACCAAGUCCUAAUUGCAGCUGGCCUUUCCGGUGAAGCAGGUCCCACGCUGCCGGCCUCACCUACGGCGCCGCAAAACGCAGGCGCCUUUUGCUGCACUUUACGACUAGCCGGGAGGCGUGGGAGAGCCAGCUCUUGGUCGCGGGGCACCGGACCCGGACUCCAAGGCUGGAGAUUCGCGGGCUGUCGCGGUUGGAAGGCUAGAGGUCACUGGGCGGGGGCAGUCGGUCAAACGCCCCCAGCCUACUUCUGGGGAAAAAAAACCCGCGUACACUCGUUGCUCCGAAUCAGUGACUUAAACAUCCCCUUUCUGGUCCGGGGUGGCUGGAUUCAGUUUGAGAUUAUCUUUUGUGGAAUCUUCAUGAUGGAGCAGAGCUUA
rnacentral:lncRNA from 1 species